UUUUUUUGUUUUUAGUCGCGUAGGUUAUCGGUUUCUCUUUUACGAAGGCGACGGCGAAAGAGAUUGUCGGAAUAUUACUUUACGAUAUCAGAGAAGACGAGAGGCGACAGCGAGAUUUCGACGAGGUGGCGAGAUUUCGACGAGCAGGAGAAGACGAGAGGCGACAACGAGAUUUCGACGAGACGGAGACGAGCAGGCAAAGAAGUUGCGGCGGAGGAGGAUAAUACGGGUGAUGUACCCGAUGAGAUGUUGUCGGAGAGGCGGUUUGCCACAGACAGGUGCCCAAGUAAACGGCUCAACGUUUACUCAACAUUGGGUUACCUUGUCUUCGUUAGGGAAGUACUUAAAGGAACGCCUGAGAUGGAUCGGAUUUUGGGUUCUUGAUUUGGGAAAUUGUUCACCUUACCGGUACGGAGGUGCGCCCAGUCGUCUAAACUGGGGCACGGCCUGCUAAUGAGGCCGGCAAUGACGAUUCAGAGCUCAUAAACUGCAAUAAGUUGCCAUAGCACGCUGGGCUCAACCUUAGAUGUUUUGGAUGCGGACCACGACCCUGAGGUAAAGCUAUAACAAUGACAAAUGUGUAGAAGAUGUGAUUUGUGGGGUUGGCAGGAUCAGGAGUGAUUAUGUGUGUACACAUGUACACUAAGUCCUACAGUGGGCAUGUGUACAACAAACAUCGAUGUCCACAAGUUAUCAUAUACAUCUGUACACUUUCUACCCCUUGUACGCGGCUAAUUUUCCAGCCUAUGAUGGAGGCCGAGGCGUACAAGUCAGUUGGGUGGGGGUCAUGAGAUGAUGAGAUUGACGAUCAUAAGGUGGAAUAUAUGAUUGGGCUUAUUGAAGGUGGGUACAAGUUCGAGAAAUCAGAGUGGGGAGGGGUGAUGCUGCGGAGGUUUUGUACAAGCAGAAGGAGCAUAAGGCACCGUCAACGGAAAAAUAGCAGUGUACUGGAUCAAGUAGCAAUGUGGGGAAAGGUCCGGUGUGUAGACUUUGUUCAUGUACUUAGUGGAACCAGAUGAAUAUCUGUACAUGUGUACACUAUAAUGUAGGCUUAGUUCAUAGAUGUCCACAUGUACACUUGCUCAUUGAUGUACACCUUUACACUUUGUUCGCAUGUGUAAAGACUAGUAUGAUUUCAGUUGUAUCAUCUUUCCAAUUUGUUUUUUUUUGUCAGGACAGUUUGUAUCAACCGGUGCUAAGUUGUGAGAAAAACACCCACCUGACCUGCUA